rnacentral:misc_RNA from 1 species
CAAGCUCUCAACCGCACCAGAUUGUGUGUGGCUUGGAAGUGGAUUUGCAGGCCUUCUUUGUGUCUGCUCUUCUGAAAUGAAUUAGUGGUGGUCUAAUCCUACUAGUACAGGUGUGAUAAAACUAUCUAUGCCUCUAGUAUGCUUUGCAUAUUGCUGCUUCUAAACAAUAUAACAUUGGUGA